rnacentral:lncRNA from 1 species
UCCAUUAUUGAAAGAUUCAUUCUUCAUCGUGCUGAGAAGAUUAUAGAUAUCUCCUAUAAUUUAGAAACUGUGUUCUGGUAGAGUUUGCCAUUAGGUAAAACGUUGCAUAUCAAGUCUUAUUUUCCUGUGAAUUCCGGUAAUAAAUGUUACGUGCUUUUCAGUGCAGAAAUAGAAUGAAAGAGCAAAGUAUCUUUGGAAUAGGAAGGGCAAUGACAAUGAGAUAGGAGUACAGAAUAUCACGACAUCAGGAUUCCAUGUCCCUGACUCCUGGUGAUGGGGAGGUGCAGAAAGACUGUGGCUGUGUUUGCUUUCCCAGGGCUUUCUUCCUGAGUCCUUAAGUUCAAUGGGACCUUGGUGGGAGAGGGAGACCAUUUCUGAAGAGCAGGGAGAAAGGAAGAAAGCCUACCAUCUUUCCUUAAUUUUCUUCUCUCCCUCUCCUGUGCCCUGGACGUCAAGAAGGCAAGUUCAAGCUUGGAGGUUACCUUGCAGUCAUCACUCUUGUGUCGUCACGUGCCUAUUUGUAUAAAACUGAAGUUAAGCUGGGCAUGGUGGCUCUCGCCUGUAAUGCCAACACUUUGGGAGGCAGAAGGCUGGAGGAUUGUUUGAGCCCAGGAGUUGGAGACCAGCCUGUGCGACAAAGACAGACCCCAUCUCUACAAAAAAAAAAUUUUUUUUAAUUAGCUGGGUGUGGUGGUACACACCUGUGGCCCCAGCUACUUGGGAGGCUGAAGUGGGAGGACUGCUUGAGCCUGGGAGUUCAAGGAUGCAAUGAACCAUGAUCAUACCACUGUACUCCAGCCUGGACAACAGAGCAAGAUACUGUAUCAAAAAAUUAAAAAUAAAAAAACCUGAAGUUAAGUGUAACUUAAAGAAGGAAGAAUAUAUUUAACUGCCUUCUUGGUGGCUCAUGCCUAUAAUCCCAGCACUCUGGGAGGCCAAGCAGGGCAGAUCACGAGGUCAGGAGUUCAAGACCAGCCUGGCCAACAGGGUGAAACCUCAUCAAUUGGCUGGGUGUGGUGGCAGGUGCCUGUAAUCCCAGCUACUCGGGAGGCUGAGGCAGGAGAAUCUUUUGAACCCAGGAGACAGAGGUUGCAGUGAGCCGAGAUCAUGCCAUUGCACUCCAGCCUGGGUGACAGGGUGAGACUCCAUCUCAAAAAAAAAAAAAAAAAAAAAAAGGAUUUUCUGAACUCAGG